UCAGGGUGACUCAGCAGUUCACAAGAAUGUGUUUCCAUUUUCUUUCCGGUUGGAAGAUUGUGAACCUUCGCUAAUACUUUCUCCUAAAAUGCCACGAAACGGGCAAAAUGGGGACAUUAGAUUACCCAGAAGCAGCUCGACAGACUUUGUUCAGCAGAAGAGCCACGCGAAGUUCACAGACCCAUUCUCACACCGCUUUCUGGGCAGGAGCAGCAGGAAAUGUGUUCAAGGCUCAGCAGCUGUUCCCCACUGAGGAGUCGGUGACUUUCUUGGACUAGACUGGGCUUUGACUGGUUUUCUAUGGGAAAUAUUGGCCCCCAACCUGCUGCUAUGGUGAGUGUACUCUGCUCGUGAAACCCACACCUAAAGGAGUCCAAUGCAUUUACAAGCCAUUACACUUAUUUAAUAUCAAUGAAGACUAAAAAUCAGGGGUGUAUUGUAAGGGAGAGUUAAGCUAGAGAACUCCAUAACAUUGCAAAAUUGAUUAUUACCCAGUGAAAAGAUCACUUACAUUUUAAACAAAUGGAAGUACAGGUCAGUAUGCAUAUCAGUACUUCACAAGGUAUAUUCUUAUGGAGGAAAUAACAUGUUUCCCAAAUGCGAAUACUGUGUUCCAUAAUUUUCAAGAUACCAAUAAAAAUUUCAGGGCUAAAAAGGGGUAGAAACAUGCCGCUUAAAAAAUCAGAAGCUUCCUUUCUGUCCAAAGCACCAGCUAUCUUCUCAAAUAGUUAUUUUACAAAAAAAUCCUGAAAAGCAGGUAACUGCCAGCUCUGACCAAUGCUGCUGCCUUACGGGAGAAGUGGCCGUGGAACUAACCGCAUACCAGAACACUAACAGACCGGUUCUGUUGUGAAAGAUCCACCACAGGCACCAAGUGUUGGUCAGCCGAUAUCUAGAGGCCACAGGACCCUUCUGAGGAAAACACUGCAGAGCGAUGGGCCAGCUGUCCCUGGCAGGGUCCUCAGGUACCAUCGGUACCAAGUGUCACCUGUGGCUGCCCAGGGAGGUUGUGGAGUCUCCUUCUGUGCAGACAUUCCAACCCGCCUGGACACCUUCCUGUGUAACCUCAUCUGGGUGUUCCUGCUCCAUGGGGGGAUUGCACUGGACGAGCUUUCCAGGGCCCUUCCAACCCCUGACAUGCUGGGAUCCUGUGAUGGGUUUGUGUGGGCACUGGCACUCGAUCCCUGUGUACCGUCUCCCAUCCAGCAGAACAGCUCUAUGCCCCAAGGCUUUCAUGCUUCUAGGAGAGGAUUUUCCCCAAAGCAGAAUAAAUUAAAAAAUAAAAACCCGUGUGAGGUAGUCUCUGAACAACGAAAUAUUUUUCAAACUUAUCUAGAUGUAUAUGUUUAGUGGUUCUGUGCAUCUUGAUCCAAAGACUUGCUUUUCAAUUACCAAGAGAAAAGACAGUUCGCAUCAGCCUCUUGCUUCACAAUGCACACAAUAUAUGUAAUUUAUGUGAUUGCACUCAGUGACCCGUAUUAUUUCUUACUCUGAGCACAUAAGCUUUUCUAACAGAGUACAGAAGAUGUAUGCCAAAAACUCACUUCAGCGUAAAAGGCCCAUUCUCUCUCUCCAGCAGAUUUGGUUAGAAUGGGUUUUCCAAGUCUGUUGCCAUCUGCUCACUAGAGAUAUUCUGGAGCUGUUCUUUGGCUGUUGGCUUCCCAAUAUUAACAAAAUUGCCGCAUAUUUCAGAAGAAAAGGCCUCACAAUUUCUGUAAAGAUACUGAAUCACAAUAUUAUCAAAACAAAA